rnacentral:rRNA from 1 species
GAUGAACGCUAGCGGCAGGCCUAAUACAUGCAAGUCGAGGGGCAGCGCGGUAGCAAUACUGGCGGCGACCGGCGCACGGGUGCGUAACACGUAUGCAACCUACCUUCAACUGGAGGAUAGCCCGGGGAAACUCGGAUUAAUACUCCAUAACACAGGGAUCCCGCAUGGGAAUAUUGUUAAAGCUACGGCGGUUGAAGAUGGGCAUGCGUUCGAUUAGCUAGUUGGUGUAGGUAACGGCUCACCAAGGCUACGAUCGAUAGGGGUCUGAGAGGAUGAUCCCCACACUGGUACUGAGAUACGGACCAGACUCCUACGGGAGGCAGCAGUAGGGAAUAUUGGUCAAGUGGGCGCAAGGCCUGAACCAGCU